rnacentral:rRNA from 1 species
GACGAACGCUGGCGGCGUGCUUAACACAUGCAAGUCGAACGCAGUGGCGAACGGGUGAGUAACGCGUAAUCAACCUGCCCUUCAGAGGGGGACAACAGUUGGAAACGACUCCUAAUACCGCAUACGGAAGGAGGGGUUUGCGUCUGAUUAGCUAGUUGGGGGGGUAACGGCCCACCAAGGCGAUGAACAGUAGCCGGUCUGAGAGGAUGAACGGCCACAUUGGGACUGAGAAAAGGCCCAGACUCCUACGGGAGGCAGCAGUGGGGAAGCUUCGGAAAUGGACGAAAGUCUGACGGAGCAACGCCGCGUGAGUGAUGACGGCCUUCGGGUUGUAAAGCUCUGUUAAUCGGGACGCGGUACCGGAAUAGAAAGCCACGGCUAACUACGUGCCAGCAGCCGCGGUAAUUC